rnacentral:rRNA from 1 species
GUCGAACGAUGAUGCCCAGCUUGCUGGGCGGAUUAGUGGCGAACGGGUGAGUAACACGUGAGUAACCUGCCCUUGACUUCGGGAUAACUCCGGGAAACCGGGGCUAAUACCGGAUAUGAGCCGUCCUCGCAUGGGGGUGGUUGGAAAGUUUUUCGGUCAGGGAUGGGCUCGCGGCCUAUCAGCUUGUUGGUGGGGUGAUGGCCUACCAAGGCGACGACGGGUAGCCGGCCUGAGAGGGCGACCGGCCACACUGGGACUGAGACACGGCCCAGACUCCUACGGGAGGCAGCAGUGGGGAAUAUUGCACAAUGGGCGAAAGCCUGAUGCAGCGACGCCGCGUGAGGGAUGAAGGCCUUCGGGUUGUAAACCUCUUUCAGCAGGGAAGAAGCGCAAGUGACGGUACCUGCAGAAGAAGCGCCGGCUAACUACGUGCCAGCAGCCGCGGUAAUACGUAGGGCGCAAGCGUUGUCCGGAAUUAUUGGGCGUAAAGAGCUCGUAGGCGGUUUGUCGCGUCUGGUGUGAAAACUCGAGGCUCAACCUCGAGCUUGCAUCGGGUACGGGCAGACUAGAGUGCGGUAGGGGAGACUGGAAUUCCUGGUGUAGCGGUGGAAUGCGCAGAUAUCAGG